UCUUCAACAGAAGAUAUGAAUCAAGCAAUCUGAGGGCCUAGAUGGGGAGAAAAGGGCCCUGAAACAGGGAGAGAUGAAUGUAGCCACCAGCUCUCUGUUUUUUUCUUUAGAGGGGCAGGGAGUCAUUCAACCUAAGAAUUUUUCCUUGCUGUCUUGCAUAUCCCAACAGGCCUCCCUUCAUUCUUACAGUGUGACUGACCUAAAUUGAAAAUAUGAAGAGGACCCAUGGGCUAAAAGGCUAAUUUUUCAUUGUCGGUAUAUACUAAAUUUGUUUAUCCAUCAUCUGUCCAUUGACAGUUGGUUGCCUCCACCCUUUGACUAUUGUGAACAGUGCUGCUAUGAACAUGAGUGUGCAAAUAUACUUUCAAGAUCCUGGUUUCAAUUCUUUUGAGAUUACCCAGAAGUAGAAUCAGUGGAACAUACGGAAGAAGAUUAUGGGCAAGUACUGCAAGAACUGGCAACAGUCUCAUAUUAUGUGGACAACUCUACAAUGCAUGUUUGUUUGGGCUCUCCCUUUUCGCUGCUCCAAACUCCCUGUCCCUGACUUUUGCUUACUGGGUCCAGUCCCCAGUAGAGUAGCUGCUCUUAGGCUUUUGUCUUAGGAGAACUCAGGGGAACACGUGGCCUAUGCUCUGGCAUUAGGUCCUCAAACAUUGCCAAACAUUGUCAAUCAUUCUUGAAGGUUUAACAUUAAAUGAUAUUAAGAAACGGACACUGGGCAAUAACUUUAGCACCAGCUGGGAGAAUUGGUGAUGAUUAUAGUCGGAAAGAAUCCCAAAUAUGUGAUGCUGGGAAGAGAUGCAGAAACAUUGAAAGCAAAUGAUCCUGUGCCUGUGACUGAACCCUCCUUGAUCUCCUCCUGUCAGGGAAGUCUUUUCCCAGUAUCAGUCAUCACUUUGCUGGG
rnacentral:lncRNA from 1 species